UAUAAACGACGACGAUUAAGAGGUGCAAUAUAUAUUGUAAUAAACAAAACAGUAAGCAGAAUUUGUGAAUUGAAAAUUAAAAAAAAAAAUUCUCACCAAUCAUCAUCAUAAUCAUCAUCAUUUGAAGUAUGUUUCUUGGUGCACAAGGUUGUUUUUUUAAAUUAAUCAAUAAAAACUGUCCGAAUGACCUUUUUUUUAUUUGGUGACCAUAUAUUUUUUUUCCCAACACUUUUGUUUGCCGUGAAUAUUACCGAUCACAACAACAAAAAAAAGAACCAGAGAAGUACAAAAAAAAUAAUAAUAAUAACGAUGGUUAAAACCUGUAUGCCGGUAUCAUCACCAAAUGAUGAUGAUCAUCAUCAUUUUGAUGAUAAAAUUCAUUGCAGAUGAUUUCCUAAUAAUUUUUUUUUUCUACAUGGCUAUGAUCAAAGAUCACAUCAAUUUGGUCAGAAAUCCAGAUACAAUUUAUGCUAAUGACGUCACCAAAAGAAAAAGUGCUGGUGGCAUUCCUAUCUAUUUUGGCAAUAUAAAUAAUAAAAUAAAAACUCAUUUAUUUCUGUUAUUAUUAUCAUCAUCGUUGAAAAAUUUAUUUAUUUUCUUUUUGUCAUUGCAUGUUUACAACUUACAA